rnacentral:lncRNA from 1 species
CACCAGUGCGUGCCUCCGACUCCCGCUGGGCUCUGCCCGCCGCCUGUGGGGCCUUUCCGGGCAACGCGCGGCCCCCAGCACGACCCGCCUGCCCGCAGGCCCCGCCGUUCUUCCAGCAGCGCGAACUCCUGCCUGCCCCCGGCUCUGGCUUUACUCACCGAUCCUUUCCAUGCUGUGGCCGCAUUCCCCAGACCCUAUCGGUUCCCAGUGCUGCAUACUUCAAGUGUAGGUGGGGUUUGGUGGCAGCCGCCCCUCCCUCCCCCAGCCAGCCGGUAGCGCUCACGGAGCUCCCCUCCGUGCCCCCAGGCUCCAGGCGUCCCCUGGCUGGCCAGCCACCACAAGUGAUUCCUGGCCGCCUUUCACCUGAACGCCACCAUCUUGACACUGCUAGUAAGAGCCCCAGAGCAAUGAACAUAUGGCAGUUGCUACCAGCACUGGUGUAUUUGCGGCGAUGCCUAUCGAUAUCCACCAGAGAGCAGGGCAGCUCCAAAACCCACAUCUUUUAUGCUGUGGAAAUUGAUGGAUACAGCAACACAGCCAGCUUCUUGGCCAAACAACAUGGAAUGCAGUUCAUUUCAAAGAUCUUGUACAGAAGGAAAAUGAGAUGCCUGGUGAAGCCUACAAUGUCAUUGACUCUGAAGAAGGACUCAGAGACCUAUUGGUGUUUAAUGACCCUUAUUGGCCUCCACAAAAGAAACUGUGACCUGAUAAACAUGAAGCUUCCUCUUCCCUAAGAAGCAGCAAACAAUACUGGAGUGUGCAUGAUGAUUUGUAGAAUCCUGUAUCCCACACAAUCUGGGAGUUUGCAAUAAUCUACUAUGUCUUUCUCCACUACAAUACAAAAUCCUGGCUGUUGAAAGAAAACAUUUAGUGCAAGAGUUUUCUGGAGAACUGCCUCUCUGCAAAUAAUAGGUAAUAACAUGUAGGCAGUAUGAAACACAUAAUCGUCAUAAUGUGUCACUGAGACUCAAAUCUGGGUUAAGAAAUAUUUUAUCCACCACAGUUGUAUGAAAACUCCAUCCAAAUAUUACAGAAAAGGUAAUAAAAGUUGAUGAUUUCUGAAUUUUAGGCAUUUAUAAGAAAUAAUUAACCUUCAGAAACCAUUCCAUUUUCUGUUAAAAUUAUUUUAGCAUUUGCAUUUAAAAGAGCAACUUUUUCCAAUUUGAAAGAGUCAAUAUUCUUCAUUUUCUUACUUGCAAAUUACUGUUUGAAUUUUUAAAACAAAAAGGUUUCUCAGCCAGCUAUUGGUAUUGCUGACAUGUGGCUUUUGUUUCAGUAUCUUAGAGUACUUAGAUGACAGCUGGGAUGUUCACAGUCUGGGCAGUAGCACAUUUUCAAUCGUAACUGGAAAGCUAGCAGAGACUUCAUGCACUCUUUUUCUGGGCAACUGAUUUUUUUUUUUUUUUUUUAAUGAAGAAUUGGUGUGCUGUAAAAUGAUACUUCACAGCAGAGAUAAUUGUUGUGGGUGAGUAAAAUGUUGGUUCUCAAUUACCCAAUACUAUAGAAAAGCAAAGUUGCAAACUAAACAGCCAGAUUAAGACUAACAAUCUAACAGGAACCUGACUCACAGUAACACACAAGAACUGCCCUGCCAUGUCUUGAUAUAUAUAGAGAGAAUUAAGCAGAGAGUGACAACUUAACUCGGAAUUUGUUUUCUUUUUCCUCUGUCAAAUUUGUUAAGUUUCGCUUAACCCUUCAAUGCUGCCAACUGGUGUUUUGUCAGCUACAGUUUUAGGAGAAUGUCAGCACAUUCUCAAUGAUUUUGGUUGCCAUGGAUAAGUGUAUUUGAUUUUUUUCUGGAACACUGUGUAUUAAUAAACAAAGUACUUUGUUAUGC